AUGUCCUUGCAAGAAUGGUGUCAAAUGUAAGCCAUAUCCAGAAACUGGUGGGCUUGUAUGUUUGUGCUUGAAUAACUAUUAUGGGGAAUACUGUGAAAAGGAGCCUUCAGCAUUCACUGGAGCUGAUGCAAGUUCAAUAUGAGCAAGGCCCUGCAUUCCAGUGGCUGGGGGCGAGUUCAGACUGGGGCACCUGCUGGAAUGGUGACUUUCCAUGGAGGAAAUGUUGUGGCCAUCAGUAUGCCAGACUUUGUAUAUGACAGCUCUGUGGCACAGAAUGGGGAUGCAAUGGAACCAGAGUACAACAAAACAGAGAAUUUUGAAGACCACAACAAACCAACCAAUUUCUCCAACCCACAUUAUAAUAGGAUUAGAACCUGCUAAUCCCCCUAAAAAGGAUUAGAACCUGCUAAUCCCCCUAAUAGGAUUAGAACCUGCUAAUCCCUCUAAAAAAGGACAUGACCAGCCCCAC